rnacentral:rRNA from 1 species
GACGAACGCUGGCGGCGUGCUUAACACAUGCAAGUCGAACGGAAAGGCCCUGCUUUUGUGGGGUGCUCGAGUGGCGAACGGGUGAGUAACACGUGAGUAACCUGCCCUUGACUUUGGGAUAACUUCAGGAAACUGGGGCUAAUACCGGAUAGGAGCUCCUGCUGCAUGGUGGGGGUUGGAAAGUUUCGGCGGUUGGGGAUGGAUUCGCGGCUUAUCCGCUUGUUGGUGGGGUAGUGGCUUACCAAGGCUUUGACGGGUAGCCGGCCUGAGAGGGUGACCGGCCACAUUGGGACUGAGAGACGGCCCAGACUCCUACGGGAGGCAGCAGUGGGGAAUAUUGCACAAUGGGCGGAAGCCUGAUGCAGCAACGCCGCGUGCGGGAUGACGGCCUUCGGGUUGUAAACCGCUUUCGCCUGUGACGAAGCGUGAGUGACGGUAAUGGGUAAAGAAGCACCGGCUAACUACGUG